UCACAAAAGCGUACGUGCCUCUUCUUGUUAGUCCACUCGACUCAACCGGGCACCAUGCCGGGCAAGAGAGGCGCCAGGACCUUGCUCGACCACCUUCCAGAGGACAUCAUCGACAGAAUACUCAUCCGGUUACCGCCCCGGGACGUCGGCCGCUGCCGCGCCGUCUGUGCGCUGUGGCGCAGUGUCACCUCCACGCCUGAAUUUAUGCUCGAACACCACCGCCGCCAGCCAUCGCUCCCCAUCGUCGACGGGGACAGACGAUCUGCCAGUCUCGUUGUCGUCCGUGACGCCGGCGCGAGGACCACCAGUCAACAGCUCUGGCCUUUCCUCCCAGGUUUCGAACACCCUACUGAUGAGGUUUGUCUCCGAUGCACUUGCGAUGGUUUCACCAUCAUCGCCCGUAGAGGUCAAUUCUACAUCUGCAACCCAGUCACCCGCAAGCAAGCUCUCCUACCGCAACCUGGGUCUGGGCUAGGCGUCCGCACCACCGUAAUUGCUCUGUACACGCACCAUCCAACCGGAGAAUACAGGGUGCUUUGGGUCUCCAGAUCACAAGACAUGUCUGAAUUCAGCUUAUACGUCCUUACGGUUGGAUCGGACAAGCCGAGGCACGUCCAAGUCAGAACGCCAACAGUCUUGUCGGUUUCCAUGAAAUGGAUGUUAGUGGGGGCGCUUAUCCAUUAUCCACCAAUCCAACACCGCGGCAGUCUGCAUUGGUGUCCUUCUCUUGCCAAACAGAUUACAGAAGAUGGUGAAGACAUUAUUGUGUUUGACACAGAAACCGAAUCAUUCCGGUGGAUGCGUAGUCCGGAACCUGAUGUGUAUCAUCAUGUGGGCACGUUGGUCAACAUGCAGGAAGCGCUUGCUUUCACGGUCCUCACGUUGAGCAAACACCCCACAUUUGAUGUGUGGGAGAUGCAGGAUUACGAGGCCAAUAUUUGGGCCUUCAAGUACAGGAUUGACCUACCGACAGUGGAGAAAUCACGACAAUUGAAUUUAACCUCUCUGAAACGGAAAAGGAAGACACCACUUGAUACAACAGUGAGUUGGUUCGAUCAAAUUGCUAUGUUCAACGACCGUGAGCUCUUGAUCCAGUUUAAUAGGAACCGUGUGUUACGCUGCGAUAUUGACGGCAACGUCUUAGGAAUGGUGAAGAUUGCAAAGAAACAAUAUUGUAUGGUUCUUACUGGGCAUCGCCUCCAAGAGAGCAUGAUUCCAAUUCCAUGCCAUGACAUACAACAAGAAGAUGACGAGCCUCCAUUCUCCGCAACAAGGAAU
rnacentral:rRNA from 1 species